CAGUGCAAUGGAUAUCGUGUUGGACUUCAAAUCCAAAGGUCGUGGGUUCGAUUUUCACCUAA
rnacentral:tRNA from 1 species